AGUAGAGGUUGCGCCGAUCAGGAGUACCGGUUCAGAUGUGGCAGGCACAGACGAUGGUCCGGGAAAGGGAAAGGUGCCGAAGAGGCGGUCAGUCCUGCGGGAUCGUUUCUGGGCGCAGGAUGAAGAAUCCUGUGACUGUCAUCCGGGUGGAUGGAGAGCUACCAGA
rnacentral:ncRNA from 1 species